rnacentral:misc_RNA from 1 species
GGUGAAGAACGUAGCGAAAUGCGAUACUUGGUGUGAAUUGCAGAAUCCCGUGAACCAUCGAGUCUUUGAACGCAAGUUGCGCCUCAAGCCAUUAGGUUGAGGGCACGUCUGCCUGGGCGUCACAUAUCGUUGACUGAUGCCAGUUUCCUCGUGAUGGGUGACUGUGCAGGGCGAAUGAUGGCUUCCCGUGAGCAUUGUUGCCUCAUGGUUGGUUGAAAAUUGAGUCCUUGGUAGGGAGCGCCGUGAUAGAUGGUGGUUGAGUGACGAACGAGACCCAAUCAUGUGAGACCCCUACCGAAUUUGGCCUUCAUGACCCACAUGCGUCUUUGGAACGCUCAUGACGAGACCUCAGGUCAGGCGGGGCUACCCGCUGAGUUUAAGCAUAUCAAUAAGCGGAGGA